UUGCACGCUGGCGGCAGGCCUCACCCAUGCCAUUCGAGCGGAUGAAGGGAGCUUGCUCCUGGAUUCAGCGGCGGACGGGUGAGUAAUGCCUAGGAAUCUGCCUGGUAGUGGGGGAUAACGUCCGGAAACGGGCGCUAAUACCGCAUACGUCCUGAGGGAGAAAGUGGGGGAUCUUCGGACCUCACGCUCUCAGAUGAGCCUAGGUCGGAUUAGCUAGUUGGUGGGGUAAAGGCCUACCAAGGCGACGAUCCGUAACUGGUCUGAGAGGAUGAUCAGUCACACUGGAACUGAGACACGGUCCAGACUCCUACGGGAGGCAGCAGUGGGGAAUAUUGGACAAUGGGCGAAAGCCUGAUCCAGCCAUGCCGCGUGUGUGAAGAAGGUCUUCGGAUUGUAAAGCACUUUAAGUUGGGAGGAAGGGCAGUAAGUUAAUACCUUGCUGUUUUGACGUUACCAACAGAAUAAGCACCGGCUAACUUCGUG
rnacentral:rRNA from 1 species